UUAGACGAUGCGUCAUGCAUAUCAAUAAGCGGAGGAAAAGAAACUAACAAGGAUUCCCCUAGUAACGGCGAGUGAAGCGGGAAGAGCUCAAAUUUGAAAUCUUAAAGGGUUUCCCUUUACGAAUUGUAGUUUAAAGAAGUGUUUUCUGUUGAGGUUUUGGUAAAAGUUCUUUGGAAUAGGACAUCAUAGAGGGUGAGAAUCCCGUAUUUGACCUUUACUUUCAACUUUGUGAUACACUUUCAAAGAGUCGGAUUGUUUGGGAAUGCAGUCCAAAAUGGGUGGUAAAUUUCAUCUAAAGCUAAAUAUUGGCGAGAGACCGAUAGCGAACAAGUACCGUGAGGGAAAGAUGAAAAGAACUUUGAAAAGAGAGUUAAACAGUACGUGAAAUUGUCAAAAGGGAAGCGUUUGACACCAGUGUUGUUUUUCUGAAAAUCAAUUAAAGAACUGUUUAUGCUAAGCUGUUUAGACUUUAUCAGCUAUCUGCUUAGUUUUGAGCUUUUCUUUAAUGCACUUUUCAGUUAACAAGUCAACAUCAAUUUCUUUUGCUGUAAAAAAGCUUGAGGAAGGUGGCUUGAGAUUCGUCUUAAGUGUUUAUAGCCUCUUGCCUAUGCAGUCGGAGAGAUUGAGGUCUGCAGCGUAGAUCCUUCGGGGCUAAAUGCAUUUGUGCUAAGUUAUAGCAUUUUAUAGACAACUUGUUGACUAUGAUUUGUCUUGUAGCUUACUCGCUUAUGUUAUUUUACCUACGCUUAGGAUGUUGACACACGCGCGUGCUCG
rnacentral:rRNA from 1 species